ACCAUGAUAGCUCAGCAGGUAGAGUGUCUGUCCGGUAAGCUGGGGGUCGCCAGUUCAACUCUGGUUAGUGGUG
rnacentral:tRNA from 1 species